UCUUCGUGUGAAACUGAAAAAGUCCAAUCCCAAAGUUGGUUUUGAGUGCGUGUAUGUUACGUGUUUUUGUUUUGUUUUUUUUUUUAUUCCUUCCUCUAUUUUUUCUCUGCAUUUACUCCUCCUCUGAGCAUCUUCGACCCGCAGGGCUACCUGGCUGCUAAUAGCGUAGACGUGGCGGGCCUGGGGGUUCCUGUUCGCCUAGCUCACAGCGCCACGCCGACUACACAGCACCGAAGGGCCCCGAAGGCAACCCGGUAUCCAAGACUGGCUCCCGUGGAGCAGCAGUGGCCGGGAGAGAGGCAGAAAGGCAGAGGAAGGUGUGCCGCACCCAGUUUCGGAGCUGAUUUCCAGGCCCCACCCAUUCCUGCCCUCCCGGUCCUCUUUAACUGUGGAACUUGGAGUGUUCCUGCGGGCGAAAAAAACGAGAGAACAGAAGGGGAGCCUAGAGAGAGCGAAUAUUGUUUUAAACUUAAGGAUAGGCAAUUUCUUUUUUCUUCAAGAUACUAGGGCAGCCUCCUCCCACAGCCCUUCGGGGUGAGGGCAGCUUGCUGAGCCUCUGUUAAGCUUACAAAAGAGCCUCUGGGGAGCAGAGAGAGGAGCUAAAAAUACCUCCGAAGCUAGGCCCGAGGUCCGGGAGGAGCUCCUCACUCGCUCUCGCUCUGGCCCUGCCCAGGAGGGAGCUUUCGCCUUUUGCAUUCCGAGGGCCGGGGCCGGCGAGGCUAAGGGCCCACACUAGUUUUGCCUUUACUUUGCGACCAGACCAGGCUCUUUUGUGGCUACGCCUGUUACUCUUAGUAAAGAAGACCUCCAGUCCAAUCUCCGGUAAAAUCAGAAAAUCAGAUGCCACUCUUUUGAUGCUUUCCAAUAAGCCCCCUCCACAGACUCAGUUUUUUAAAAGAAAAGAGAUGGGACCGUUAGGCCCUAUUUUAUACCAGAAACAAUCCGGUCACGCAAGGAUUCUUCUCAGGUUGGUGUAAUGCGCUGUGUGGAUGUACGCAGUUACUUGCAGUCCUGGGACACCAUCUGAUUGUGAAAGAACCGGUGAACCCCUUAUUUCAGCCCUCUCCAGAAAAAAAAAAUAGCAGUUACUUCCCCCUAGUGUCCCCCUUUGGUUAUCGGUAAAAAACGCAAAACUCCUUAUAUAAAGGCAAAACACACAAUGAAUUUCAAAACUCCCGCUCGCCCCCUCUGGAAGGCAGCUUUUCUUUUCACUGCCCAUGCUGGAUGAAAGUGGUUUAUUUUGAUUUUUUUUCUUGUACCCACAUGCCUUGUAAAAGGUUCCUGUGCACGGGCCUGGCCCCCCUCCGAUGACCGCAGGGCCUUGCUUCCAGACUGCAGUCCCCACCACUUGGUUUUUAAGUCCUCGCCUGGAGCCGAGGUGUAAUUGUGACCCCGCCCGAGCCCCGAGCCUCCCGGGGGGACGGUUGGCCCGGCCUGCUUUGGGGCCGGGACCUCCCAAGUGGCGGCCUGGGCGCCGGGAGCCUCGUGGUCCUCUCCUUCCCUGCCUCCUCCCUCUCUCCCUCCCCUGUAGACUUUGCUCGUUUUCUCCUCGUUUCCCCAGCUUGCUAAGCACUACGGCGCACAAAAUUUCUCUCCACUUUUUUAGUUUCCUCUUGCCGUUUCCUUUCUAGCACCUUAUCACCGCUCUCUCGGCCCCCUUCACGUUGAGAUCCCAGACCCAGGGAAGCAAAGUAGGGCUUUGUCGAACUAUGCGGGGAAGAACUGGGAGCCUCUGGCCCCCUCGGCGCCGCGGUGGAGUCGGAACCCGGUGCGCCUCUGCGUAACGUCAGCGCGCGGGGUAAUUUACCUUCCCUGGGCGUCUGUCAAUAUGACUAAUUUCCACAGGGGUCAAAAAGCCUUUCUCCGGCAGUCCAUCUUGGAACGCUCUCUUACGCAGUAGACGGGGUUGGUUGUUUUGUUUCCAACCCUAGAAAUAAAUACUCUUGGGGCGUCCCUGCCAGGGCAGCCUGAGAGGAGCAGAGGAAUAUACACGGUGUCAAUUAAAGGCAGUUUUCCUUGAA
ensembl:lncRNA novel transcript